GCUGAUGCUGAUGCGCUCGUUUUUCAUCCAUCUUUGUGUGUUUUCACUGAACAUGCACCAUGACAUUCAUGUUGCUCCUAUGCUUGGAACAUGAAUAGUGACUAAAAUUCUGAACUGCACAAUAUUUCAGGCCUUAUUUGCCUUAAAGAAUUUUCAUUUGUAUUUCAAAGGCAUGUCCUGAUCCCUUAAUGCUGUAGAAAUAUCUUUCCAUUUUUUUCUGUGUCCACUUUUCAAUGCGUUUGCAUUUCCAAUGUUCCUUUUUCUUCUGCAAAGUUUAAUAACCUUAUUUCUCUAAAUCUUUCAUUCAUAUUAUUAAAUUAACGGUAAGCUGUAAUCUUCCUCAUAUAUUCUAAAAAUAAUGUAAUUUUGCCUUUGCUUGAGUAGCAUCAACAAUCAAUUUUAUGCCAAGAUACAUACGUAUAUGCUUGAGAUUGACUUUGUAGUGGCUCACACUGUGGUUGGAACCUACUAUUCUUGCCAUACCUGCUUUUAGCACAUGUUACUUCUCUUCCAUAUGUAUUAUCAGCAAGUUUUUCUAUCCCUGUUUUAUUCAUAUAUUUAAUGGGAGCCUUGAAACAUUUUAUUGUUCUACUGUAUCAUGCAC
rnacentral:lncRNA from 1 species